GACGAACGCUGGCGGCGUGCUUAACACAUGCAAGUCGAACGGUAAGGCCCUUCGGGGUACACGAGUGGCGAACGGGUGAGUAACACGUGGGUGAUCUGCCCUGCACUUCGGGAUAAGCCUGGGAAACUGGGUCUAAUACCGGAUAGGACCCUGGGAUGCGUGUCCUGGGGUGGAAAGCUUUUGCGGUGUGGGAUGGGCCCGCGGCCUAUCAGCUUGUUGGUGGGGUGUUGGCCUACCAAGGCGACGACGGGUAGCCGGCCUGAGAGGGUGACCGGCCACACUGGGACUGAGAUACGGCCCAGAGUCCUACGGGAGGCAGCAGUGGGGAAUAUUGCACAAUGGGCGCAAGCCUGAUGCAGCGACGCCGCGUGAGGGAUGACGGCCUUCGGGUUGUAAACCUCUUUCAGCACCGACGAAGCGCAAGUGACGGUAGGUGCAGAAGAAGGACCGGCCAACUACGUGCCAGCCGCCGCGGUAAGAC
rnacentral:rRNA from 1 species